AGGAUGAACGCUGGCGGUCUGCUUAACACAUGCAAGUCGAACGGGCGUAGCAAUACGUUAGUGGCGGACGGGUGAGUAACGCGUGAGAAUCUACCUUCAGGACGGAGACAACAGUUGGAAACGACUGCUAACCCCCGAUGUACUGAAAAGGCAAAUAUUUAUAGCCUGAAGAAGAGCUCGCGUCCGAUUAGCUAGUUGGAGAGGUAAAAGCUCACCAAGGCGACGAUCGGUAGCUGGUCUGAGAGGACGAUCAGCCACACUGGGACUGAGACACGGCCCAGACUCCUACGGGAGGCAGCAGUGGGGAAUUUUCCGCAAUGGGCGAAAGCCUGACGGAGCAAGACCGCGUGGGGGAAGAAGGCUCUUGGGUUGUAAACUCCUGUCAUUUGAGAACAAGUGCCAACAAGUAACUACUGUUGGCUUGAUAGUAUCAGAAGAGGAAGGGACGGCUAACUCUGUGCCAGCAGCCGC
rnacentral:rRNA from 1 species